GCGCAGCAGGCGAGAAACCUUCGCAAUGCGGGAAACCGCGACGAGGGACUCCCAGUGCCUACGCUCAGCGUAGGCUGUUCCCGAGCCUAGAAAGCUCGGGGAGUAAGGGCUGGGUAAGACGGGUGCCAGCCGCCGCGGUAAUACCCGCAGCCCGAGUGGUGGCCACUAUUAUUGGGCCUAAAGCGUCCGUAGCCGGCCCGGUAAAAUGCCUGGGGUAAAUCGUGAGGCCUAACCUCACGAAUUCCGGGUAGACU
rnacentral:rRNA from 1 species